rnacentral:rRNA from 1 species
AUAGCGUAUAUUAAAGUUGUUGCAGUUAAAAAGCUCGUAGUUGAACCUUGGGCCUGGUUGGUCGGUCCGCCUCACCGCGUGCACUGAUCCGACCGGGUCUUUCCUUCUGGGGAGCCGCAUGCCCUUCACUGGGUGUGUCGGGGAACCAGGACUUUUACUUUGAAAAAAUUAGAGUGUUCAAAGCAGGCCUAUGCUCGAAUACAUUAGCAUGGAAUAAUAGAAUAGGACGUGUGGUUCUAUUUUGUUGGUUUCUAGAACCGCCGUAAUGAUUAAUAGGGAUAGUCGGGGGCAUCAGUAUUCCGUUGUCAGAGGUGAAAUUCUUGGAUUUACGGAAGACUAACUACUG